rnacentral:tRNA from 1 species
GCAGUCGUGACCGAGCGGUUAAGGCGAUGGACUUGAAAUGCAUUGGGGAAUUCCCCGCGCAGGUUCGAAUCCUGCCGACUGCG